rnacentral:rRNA from 1 species
AGCGAACGCUGGCGGCAGGCCUAACACAUGCAAGUCGAACGAACUCUUCGGAGUUAGUGGCGGACGGGUGAGUAACACGUUGGAACGUGCCUUUUGGUUCGGAAUAACUCAUGGACACUUGUGCUAAUACCGAAUGUGCCUUUCGGGGGAAAGAUUUAUCGCCAUUAGCUCGGCCCGCGUCUGCUUAGCUUUUUGGUUAGGUAACGGCUCACCAACGUGACGAUCAGUAGCUGGUCUGAGAGGAUGACCAGCCACACUGGGACUGAGACACGGCCCAGACUCGUACGGGAGGCAGCAGUGGCGAAUCUUGCGCAAGGGGCGAAAGCCUGACGCAGCCAUGCCACGUGAAUGAGAAUGGUCUUAGGAUUGUAAGAUUCUUUCACCCGAGACGAUAAUGACGGUACCCGGAGAAGAAGCCCCGGCUAACUUCGUG